CCUACGGGUGGCAGCAGUGAGGAAUAUUGGUCAAUGGGCGCGAGCCUGAACCAGCCAAGUAGCGUGAAGGAUGACUGCCCUACGGUUUGUAAACUUCUUUUAUAAAGGAAUAAAGUGAGGCACGUGUGCCUUUCUGUAUGUACUUUAUGAAUAAGGAUCGGCUAACUCCGUGCCAGCAGCCGCGGUAAUACGGAGGAUCCGAGCGUUAUCCGGAUUUAAUGGGUGUAAAGGGAGCGUAGAUGGGUUGUUAAGUCAGUUGUGAAAGUUUGGGGCUCAACCGUAGAAUUGCAUUUGAUACUGGCAGGCUAGAGUACAGUAGAGGGAGGCGGAAUUCGUGGUGUAGCGGUGAAAUGCUUAGAGAUCACGAGGAACUCCGGUGGCGAAGGCAGCUUACUGAACUGCCACUGACAUUGAGGCUCGAAAGUGUGGGUAGCAAACAGGAUUAGAUACCCUUGUAGUC
rnacentral:rRNA from 1 species